CCUUCUGACUACCUUCCCUGUGCUAUUCCAUCAGCCUACAGACCUGGUACCUGGAUUUUUGCCCGAGAUGAUUCCUACCACCUUACUACUGACGAAGACACCCAUUCCAGUGGACCACUGUGACCCAGGAGGCAUUCAGCCAUCAUGAUGUGGCCUUUACCUCCACUCCUGUCUUGUUCUACCCAGAUUCAGCACAGCCCUUUAUAGUGAAGUCAGAGUCCUCAAGCCAAAUAGCUAAAGCUGUUUUAUCACAACAAAGGCCUAGUUUGUUCCAUGAGUGUGCAUUUCAUUUCUUCAGUUAAAGCCUUCAGAGACACACAAUAAAUUUGGACCAGGGGAUUUUUUAGUUAUUAAUGCUCUCUGAAGAAAGGCAACAUCUUUUUGAGAGCAGCAUUGGACCACACCCCACAAUCUCAAAUGAUUGAAAUUCAUGAACAUCUAGGAUCCCGUGAAGGUCACUGGACCCUGUUUUUUCUACUUCAAAUCCUGUAGUAGCCUACUGAAUGAGAAAACAUAUUCUGACCCAUUGGGAUCAAAUCAAAGGCACAGUGAACUCCUCAUAGCAUCUUCUUUGGAAUUACUCAGGAACCAGAACUUUUUACACAAAUGUAAGAAAUUCUACCAAGGAGUCCCCUUACCUAACAGCAUCUCACAAGGCUGCACCAGAUUCCAGAAAAGGCUUCUCUUGAUACAUCAAGCAUUUUGUGACCGACUUAUUCUUAGAUCAUUGGUUUUCCAAAGGCUUUGUGGCCAUGAAGCCCUUUGAGUGAAAACUGUGCAGAAGCCCAGAGUAAAAGUGAAGCUGCUCUGGAUGAAGUAGUGAAGCAAGAGUAGGGGCCUGAAUCCUGCUACAACUAUCUUCCUUUACCACCGUGGUGACACCUAAGGGGACUUCCUUACAACACCUUGAACUCUUCCGAACACAGUUUGAAAACCACUGCCCCAGACAGCAAUAUGUUUGACCUGAAUGGCAUUCCAAUCUUUUCUGUACCUCCACUCAGCACAGUUCAUGUUCAGUAGAUGCUGAACAUUCUUAGAAAUACUGUGUGUGAACUUAGAAAAGUGCAAGAAGACAGGCAUGUCUUUGACCCCAGGAAUGAUCAUUUGCUGAAGAUGGUGUCAAGUGAACCUAGAUUAACAGCCCUCCACUCCAGAUGGAUAUCCAGUGAUUCCUAGAAUGGGAUAUAGCCAGAGAACAAUUCUAUGCACCCUACACUGACAGACUCCCUUAAGCAACACCAGAUGCUCUACUGGUACUUGAAGUACAUGACUUUGAAGUCUUGACCCUCCAUGAAUACCUGAAUUAUCAGCAAGCGGGUUUUGAAGCUGGUGCCUCAUUGAGGCCAUAUUAGAGCAACUUGUACAUUUGACCUCUUGUUAUCAGCCAUGGUACUCUACUUCGUGUGCAAGAGAUAACUAUGAAAGCCAAAUUCAAAUACUGGCAACAUUUCCUAAAGGGGCUCAAUAUCUAUCAUUCGUCUUCUUUUCCAAACUACACAUCACUGUAUGACUCAACCAGUAGCAGUUAUAUUGCCCCUUGGUUUUUAUUCAGUUUAACUACUGUUUCCAAGAUAAAUGAGCUAAUAAGCUUUAAAAAAAAAAAAAAAAAA
rnacentral:lncRNA from 1 species